AUGGGCCCAUCGCUCGCCGACGACGCUCACCAUCAGCAUGCUUGCCAUCAUCAAAAUCGCAAACAAAAUUGUGUUGGUUCCAGCAAAAAGAGCAGUUGUAGCAGAAAAAUACGCUGGUUCCAGCAAAAAUCCAAAACGAUGGUAACAAAAAUAAUACAUGUUUGUUCCAGCAAAAAACAAAAUGGUGACAACAAAAAGAAAUUAUGCUUGCAACAAAAAAAGAAAAUGGUUCCAGCAAAAGUACUUGCCGCUUCCAGCAAAACUAUUAAUCAUCGUCACUGGGGUCGUAGCAAAAACAAUCGCUGCUUCCAGCAAAAUAAGUUGCUGGUUCCAGCAAUGAUGGAUCGUCACCCUGGCCGUCGCCGGUUCCAGCAUUAG
rnacentral:rRNA from 1 species